GUGGUGUGUGUGUGUGUGUGUGUGAGAGAGAGAGAGAGAGAGAGAGGGAGAGGGAGAGGGAGAGGGAGAGCGCUGAGUCACUGUCUCCCAUUUCUGGCUUCGCUUCUCACAUCCACAACCCAUGUGCUCUACUUCCAUUUUUUCCUCUCAUUCCUGUUCCAAGCACAUCUGAAGAUUUUAUUUUCUCUAGCUUGGCUUUUCCCUUUGGGGAUGGCUCACAAAGCCUCAGAGCUUCUGAACGCACUCUGACGUGAGGG
rnacentral:lncRNA from 1 species